GGGACACGUGGUAUCCUGUCUGAAUAUGGGGGGACCAUCCUCCAAGGCUAAAUACUCCUGACUGACCGAUAGUGAACCAGUACCGUGAGGGAAAGGCGAAAAGAACCCCGGCGAGGGGAGUGAAAAAGAACCUGAAACCGUGUACGUACAAGCAGUGGGAGCACGCUUAGGCGUGUGACUGCGUACCUUUUGUAUAAUGGGUCAGCGACUUAUAUUCUGUAGCAAGGUUAACCGAAUAGGGGAGCCGAAGGGAAACCGAGUCUUAACUGGGCGUUAAGUUGCAGGGUAUAGACCCGAAACCCGGUGAUCUAGCCAUGGGCAGGUUGAAGGUUGGGUAACACUAACUGGAGGACCGAACCGACUAAUGUUGAAAAAUUAGCGGAUGACUUGUGGCUGGGGGUGAAAGGCCAAUCAAACCGGGAGAUAGCUGGUUCUCCCCGAAAGCUAUUUAGGUAGCGCCUCGUGAAUUCAUCUCCGGGGGUAGAGCACUGUUUCGGCAAGGGGGUCAUCCCGACUUACCAACCCGAUGCAAACUGCGAAUACCGGAGAAUGUUAUCACGGGAGACACACGGCGGGUGCUAACGUCCGUCGUGAAGAGGGAAACAACCCAGACCGCCAGCUAAGGUCCCAAAGUCAUGGUUAAGUGGGAAACGAUGUGGGAAGGCCCAGACAGCCAGGAUGUUGGCUUAGAAGCAGCCAUCAUUUAAAGAAAGCGUAAUAGCUCACUGGUCGAGUCGGCCUGCGCGGAAGAUGUAACGGGGCUAAACCAUGCACCGAAGCUGCGGCAGCGACGCUUAUGCGUUGUUGGGUAGGGGAGCGUUCUGUAAGCCUGCGAAGGUGUGCUGUGAGGCAUGCUGGAGGUAUCAGAAGUGCGAAUGCUGACAUAAGUAACGAUAAAGCGGGUGAAAAGCCCGCUCGCCGGAAGACCAAGGGUUCCUGUCCAACGUUAAUCGGGGCAGGGUGAGUCGACCCCUAAGGCGAGGCCGAAAGGCGUAGUCGAUGGGAAACAGGUUAAUAUUCCUGUACUUGGUGUUACUGCGAAGGGGGGACGGAGAAGGCUAUGUUGGCCGGGCGACGGUUGUCCCGGUUUAAGCGUGUAGGCUGGUUUUCCAGGCAAAUCCGGAAAAUCAAGGCUGAGGCGUGAUGACGAGGCACUACGGUGCUGAAGCAACAAAUGCCCUGCUUCCAGGAAAAGCCUCUAAGCAUCAGGUAACAUCAAAUCGUACCCCAAACCGACACAGGUGGUCAGGUAGAGAAUACCAAGGCGCUUGAGAGAACUCGGGUGAAGGAACUAGGCAAAAUGGUGCCGUAACUUCGGGAGAAGGCACGCUGAUAUGUAGGUGAAGUGAUUUACUCAUGGAGCUGAAAUCAGUCGAAGAUACCAGCUGGCUGCAACUGUUUAUUAAAAACACAGCACUGUGCAAACACGAAAGUGGACGUAUACGGUGUGACGCCUGCCCGGUGCCGGAAGGUUAAUUGAUGGGGUUAGCGCAAGCGAAGCUCUUGAUCGAAGCCCCGGUAAACGGCGGCCGUAACUAUAACGGUCCUAAGGUAGCGAAAUUCCUUGUCGGGUAAGUUCCGACCUGCACGAAUGGCGUAAUGAUGGCCAGGCUGUCUCCACCCGAGACUCAGUGAAAUUGAACUCGCUGUGAAGAUGCAGUGUACCCGCGGCAAGACGGAAAGACCCCGUGAACCUUUACUAUAGCUUGACACUGAACAUUGAGCCUUGAUGUGUAGGAUAGGUGGGAGGCUUUGAAGUGUGGACGCCAGUCUGCAUGGAGCCGACCUUGAAAUACCACCCUUUAAUGUUUGAUGUUCUAACGUGGACCCGUAAUCCGGGUUGCGGACAGUGUCUGGUGGGUAGUUUGACUGGGGCGGUCUCCUCCUAAAGAGUAACGGAGGAGCACGAAGGUUGGCUAAUCCUGGUCGGACAUCAGGAGGUUAGUGCAAUGGCAUAAGCCAGCUUGACUGCGAGCGUGACGGCGCGAGCAGGUGCGAAAGCAGGUCAUAGUGAUCCGGUGGUUCUGAAUGGAAGGGCCAUCGCUCAACGGAUAAAAGGUACUCCGGGGAUAACAGGCUGAUACCGCCCAAGAGUUCAUAUCGACGGCGGUGUUUGGCACCUCGAUGUCGGCUCAUCACAUCCUGGGGCUGAAGUAGGUCCCAAGGGUAUGGCUGUUCGCCAUUUAAAGUGGUACGCGAGCUGGGUUUAGAACGUCGUGAGACAGUUCGGUCCCUA
rnacentral:rRNA from 1 species